rnacentral:lncRNA from 1 species
CCUUCCUAUUUUAAUGGAGCAGCACCUUCUAAGAAUUCAUCAAUGAAUCGUAACACAAAAAGGAAGGGGAAGAGGAGGUCCGGAGUGCAGGAAGAUUCCAAACUGCUGUCCUAAAUGAGACAGGGUCUCCAGGCACUGGAGUGCAGUUGCAUGAUCAUAGCUCACUAUAACUUCAAACUCCUGGGCUCAAGAUAUCCUCCUGCCUCAACCUCCCAUGUAGCUAGGACUACAGAUGAACACCAUUGCACCUGACUAAUUUUUAAAAUUUUUUGUAGAGAGGGGUCCUAUUAUGUUGCCCAGGCUGGUCUCAAACUCCUGGCCUCAAGUGAUCCUCUCUCCUUGGCCUCCCAUAGUGCUGGAGUAAUAGGUGUAAGCCACUGUGCCUGGCCUAGUUUGCCAGUUUUGAAGGUUAUCUAAAUAGUAUCAUACUGCUACACACACACACACACACACACACCCCAUAUUCAUGUUUUCUUACAACUUAAAGAUGUAUCUUUGCUGAGAAAAUACAGUUGUACUUCCUUCAUUUUAACUGCUCAUUACAUAAUAAUACCACAAUUUAUUAACAUAUUUCCCUAUAGAUGGAUGUUUACUUUUUUGUGCAAUUAUUUGCUAUUAUGAGCCAGGCUACAGGCAAAAUUCUUUUGGAUGGAGGUAUGCAACCUUUGUUUUUUAUUUUAUUUUAUUUUGUUUUAACAUAAUUGAACAAUAGGGCCAAUAAAGUUGCCCUUUUUUUAAUGUACAGUUCUGUCAGUUUUAACACAUGGAUGGAUUCACAUGACCACCAUCAUGAUAAGGAUAUAGAAUAGUUCCAUCACCCAAAACAACUUCCUAAUGCUGUACCUUUGUAGUCAUACCUUCAUCACGGUCCCUAAUGCCUGGCAGCCAAUGAUCUAUUCUCUGUCACCAUAGCUUUUCCAUUUCUAGGCUAUCAUAUAAAUGUAAUCAUACAAUAUGUAACCUUUUGAGACUGGAUUCUAUCACUCAGCAUAAUGCCUUUGAGAUGCAUCAAUGCUGUCAUGUAUACCCAUAUUUUGUUCUUUGUUGUUUCUAAGUAGUAUUCCAUUGUAUGAUGUACAACAGUUUAUCUAUUUGCCCACUGAAGGACAUAUGCACUACUUAAUGUUGGCAAUUAUUAAUAAAGCUGCUAUAAAACUUUCAUAAGUAGGUUUUUAUGCACACAUAAGUUUUCAAUUCAUUUGAGUAAAUACCUAGCAGUGGAUUACUGGGUCAUGUGGUAAGUACAUGUUUAUGUUUUC